GACAAAGCAGGAGCGUGCACGCUCUCUCUUUCUCUCUUUAAUUUUGGUUUCUCUCAAGCUUCCAAAUGGUGCUCAGUGCUCCAAGGAAAGGAAGGAAGGAAGGAAAAGGAGGGGAGAGGAGGGGAAGGGGAGGCAGAGGAGGAACAUCUGGAAAAAAAGCAGCCUGACAGUCCAGCUGUUUGCAAACUCAUAGCACAUCCUCCAGUUACAUGGCAGAAGAGGGAGGGAGGGAGGGCCAAAAAGAAAAGGGAGAGGAGGAAGAAAAAUAACUUAAAUAAACACACACACAAAGAAAAGAGAAGGCAACAUGACGUGAGCUGGUGAUCCAUGAAGGCAGGGAGGGAGGGGAACCGUUUUACCUGUGCUGAACCAAGGGAAGAAUGCGGAGAGGGAGGGAGGGAAAGGGGAAAAAAAAAUCAGAAGAAACACUGGGGGCAGAGGGAGGAGGGGACACGGAGACAACUUUAUACAACUUGAGACGAGGCGGCCCGGCCGGCGUGUCCUCAGUGCGUCUGUGGCGAAGCAGGUGAGGCAGCGGGCGGUGGGCGGGCUUGCUGGGUGCCCCCGCCGCAGGCGGGCACGGGCUGGACGGCCUGUCUUCUUUCCACUGGCCCCCCGGCAUGGGAUGGGCCAGGGCGCCGGGUCGGGUACCGGAGUGCAAGCUCGAAAGAGAGAGAGAGAAAACACUGAGACAGCAUUAGUGGAGUGAAAGGCGGACACAGA
rnacentral:lncRNA from 10 species